UCAUCGGAUAUAACGGAUGGUUCCGGAUCGGCGUUACGCUUUCCGGAUGAAAAGGGAAUGUGACGAGGCGGACCCAAGCCGGGCGCUUUCAUCACAGCCGACCCCGCGACUGUAGAGCGGUCAGGGUCUUGCAUCCGGCAUCGAGCCUUUUUCGUCGGCAGCCCGCAAUGGUGCGGGCGGGCGGAGCGGAGGAGAUGCCGGAAAAGCCACUGGAAAUGCAUGGUGAUCAACCGGGGUCGGACGCCUCUAUUUCUACGAAUCGUCCACCUUUUCACGAGAUGCAGCCGGGAAGGCGAGGCAGAUCCGCUGGCACGAUCAGGGGCGACCGGAAACGGUCGUCCCGGUCGCGGCCGAUACCCGCGAGCCAGGAGACCUGCCAUCCCGUGCCGGGCGAA
rnacentral:ncRNA from 1 species